CCUACGGGUGGCAGCAGUGAGGAAUAUUGGUCAAUGGGCGCGAGCCUGAACCAGCCAAGUCGCGUGAGGGAAGACGGCCCUACGGGUUGUAAACCUCUUUUGCCGGGGAGCAACGGGCGCCACGUGUGGCGCCACUGAGAGUACCCGGAGAAAAAGCAUCGGCUAACUCCGUGCCAGCAGCCGCGGUAAUACGGAGGUUGCGAGCGUUAUCCGGAUGUAUUGGGUUUAAAGGUGGCGGAGGCGGAGCGUUAAGUCAGUGGUAAAAUUGAGGGGCUCAACCCCUUCCCGCCAUUGAAACUGGCGCUCUUGAGUGGAAGAGAGGUAUGCGGAAUGCGUGGUGUAGCGGUGAAAUGCAUAGAUAUCACGCAGAACCCCGAUUGCGAAGGCAGCAUGCCGGCUUCCUACUGACGCUGAAGCACGAAAGCGUGGGGAUCGAACAGGAUUAGAUACCCGGGUAGUC
rnacentral:rRNA from 1 species